UACGUAGGUGACAAGCGUUGUCCGGAUUUACUGGGCGUAAAGAGCGCGCAGGCGGUCGAUCAAGUCGAGUGUGAAAGCCCCCGGCUCAACUGGGGAGGGUCAUUCGAUACUGAUCGACUCGAAGGCAGGAGAGGGUAGUGGAAUUCCCGGUGUAGUGGUGAAAUGCGUAGAUAUCGGGAGGAACACCAGUGGCGAAGGCGGGUUACUGGGCUGAUACUGACGCUGAUGCGCGAAAGCCAGGGGAGCAAACGGG
rnacentral:rRNA from 1 species